GCUUGCUCGUUGAAGUGGGACGCAGCAGCCUCACUGAAAUAGAGAUGCCAUCGCAGUCAGGUGUUGACAGCCCAGUGCCAUCCAGCCUUGACUUGGUGACCAGGGAGAAGUCUUCUGCACUCAACCUAGUGACUGUCCUGGGUAUCUGGGGUGGAGGCACUUUCCGACUCUUCGAUUCAAGGGGUGAGACCUUUGUUCCAGGGACAUGGAGCGCUGCCAACAGCUG